rnacentral:lncRNA from 1 species
GUGGCUCUGUCCGCCUCGCUGCGCUUCCGGCUUCGCUGAGGCUGACUCGCAACUUUGCGAGCGACCGAGACCCCCGAGCGACAAGCGCGACCGCAAGGACGCCCGACGUCGACAGUCCGAGGUGGAGCCGCUGCCCGCCGGCCCAGGCCUCCCGUUCAGCCGUCCGGCGCGUCCGCUCCCACAGACCCGUACAGGCACAGGCGCACAGCGGCUCCCGCGGCUCGCGGCCCUCGCGCGCGCGUCCGCUCCACUCGACGGCUCGACCUCCGACGCCGACGGUGGACAACUCCGCCACUCCGCCAGCGGGCACAGGCAGCGCUGCUGCGGCAGCGGCCACGGCCCACAGGCCACAGCCAAUCCGGGUGAAUUUUGGUAAGUUUGAUUUUUUUUUUCUUCCAGAUGGUUUAGGGAUUUGAUUUUCUUCUAGAUCUAUGAUUCUGUGAGAUUGUGAGGUGUGAACCAAGAAUUGAAUCAAUUUAUUAAUAUGUUUUUAAGAAGUUGAGGCAUGAAGAAAUCAAAUAUAGCAGUUCUAAAAAAAUUGCAACUCAUAUCUCCACCAACACCAAUUUUAGUUAUUGAUGAAGAGCUCUCUAUUCCUAUUGUAGAAAAUUUGCUUAUUUUAUAGUCAUUUUACCGAAUUUUUUCUUUGAAAUUUGUCGUGUUACGCAUGAAAAAACAUUUUUAGGACUACCUUGGUUCCAAUUUCUGGGUCCACCACUGUAUAAACAUAGGAUUUUACUUUUACUGGUCUAAGUUGAGUAGAGAAGUAAUUGACUGGAUUUAGGAUAGAUAGCCGACUAUGAAGAGGGGAAAUCACGGUCAUCUCUCGAAUCAAGUGCUACUAGGUCCAUAUCUUGAGCAUAUGCAUUAGAAUCUAGUAAAGUGCUAACCUAACUUCUUUGAUGAAAAUGUUUGUGAAAAGCUAACACACAUGCACUUUAGUGGUGGCACUUAUUGGUGUUAGCAACAUUUGCAAAGGAGGUGGAGUUCCUAGGAUUGAGAGGGGUUUGGGUUUCUCUCUCUCCCUCCCGCCGAGCUUGCUCGGCGGUAUUCGGCGCUUUUGAGAAAAUUAAGUAUAUAUUUUCUAUUGCGUCGGUGGAAAAUUUGGAGAAGUCAUGGGUCGCUGAGAAACACUCAUCAGACGCAGUGUGUGGAGGCACCGGACGCUGGCUUUAGCAUCUGGUGUGCUGUCAGCGCUUGGCUCUAUUAGGGUUGAGCACCGGACGCACUGCACUAGACGCAGGAUGUUCCCUGUUCAUGCGUCUGGUGUGGCCUGACUUCAGCAGAGGGUGUCUGACUGAGAGCACUGGACGCUCGGAGUGCGUCCGGUGGUGUGAGUCCGGUGUGGGGACGUUUUGCAGACCUCUCUAUGCACGAGUUCGGUGAGUACCGGACGCGUCCGGUGAGGUCGUGAGUUUGCAGACCUCUCUACGCACGGGACUGGUGAGUACCGGACGCGUCCGGUGCUCAUUUGGUCGCGUCUGGUGGUCCGCAGGUGACCGUUAGAGUUUGACGCGCGAGUUUCAAAGAUGGACACGUGGCUAACAUUAGUGCACCGGACGCAGGGGGUCGAGCGUCCGGUGGUUCCCUAAUACGCGUCUGGUGCCCCUGAGAUUUGUCCAGUGACAGAGCCAACGGCUCUAUCUCUUUGAGGGGCUUAUAAAUAGAAGGUGGCCGGCUUUAGAGGGUUUUCUCUUGCACAUUUGAUUACUUGAGGCAUACAUUGAGCUAGAGAACACUCUCUCCACUCAUCUCUUUGCUUGAUUGCUAUUCUUAGUGAGAUUGAGUGAAAUUCAAGUGCAUUGCAUUGAGAGUUGCAUCUAGUGGCACUUGAUCCUUGAGUUUGCUACGGAUUUCUUGUUACUCUUGGGUGUUUCCUGAUGCUCUAGAUGGCUUGGAGUAGCGGUGGUGUUGAGCUCGUGAUUGGAGAUUGUUUCGAGCCUCACCAAGUGAUUUGUGAGGGGUUUUUGAGCCUUCCCCGUGGGAGAUCAUAAUUGGCUACUCUAGUGGAUUUCUCGUGGCUUGGAGGAUCCCCAUCUUGUGAGUGGAUGUGCGGCACCCGCUGAGGGUUUGGCUUUGAAUUGCCAAUUAGCUCGUGAUCUAUCAAGUGAGUGUAUCACCACAACGAGAACUAGCUUGCCGGGAAGCAAGUGAACCUCGGUAAAAAAUCCUGUGUCGUCUCAUGUCGAGGAUUUUCUAUUGUGAUUGUGAUUGUGAGUGAUUGAUUGCAUAUAUCUCUACUCUACAACGUUGGUAUAACAAUCACUCUCUACUUCUUUACUUACUUGCAUACCUUACUAGUUGUUUAGCUUGUUUAGCAUAGUCUUCUUGUUUAGGAGUAUAGCUAGCCUUCUCUUGUUGUUGUGGUUUAGUGUUUAGUCUUGUACUAGACUUUAGGUGGCUUUAGCUUAGUUGAGCUAGUGCUAGAAUAGUUUCGCCUUUUGUUUUACUAAUCAACUUGUUUAGUUGUAGUUUGUAGAAAAUUUAAAUAGGCUAUUCAUCCCCCCUAGCCAUUUGGACCUUUCAUCUUUGCCGACUCAAAAUUUUUCGAGAGCUCUUUACCGAGAGCCGCUCUCGGCAAAGCCUUGCCGAGGAUUUUUGGGUCUUUGUCGGGGGCUUGGGGCCCUCAACAAAGAGGGCGCGUCCAGUAGUGUUACACGGUUCAGGUCUAUAUGACUCUAAAAAUUUAAUGAGCUUUGUUUUGUUUGGAUUAAAUAUUACUUUAAUAUUAGUAUUGUUAUUUUAUCAUGCGACCUAUUUGUUUUUAUAUAAAAAAAUUAGUUGUCUUAUAUCAACGCACAGGCAUACCUAUCUAGUACAGUUUGAUGCCUUAGGUCCUGCCUAUUGCUUUUUUGAACACAAAUAAUCGACACCCAGUAUGCAAUGUAACCAAACUCAUCUCAUCAAUUAUAGAUGCAUGUAUGCCACAGAUAAUGAUGUGGUGAUAAACAUACAUGGAAGUGUCAUUGAAAGAACAAUUAUUAUUCCCUCUCGCGCUUGGCUAUUAUUGAACUGGGCCUCCACCGAAGGCAUCCAUGGCCAUAUGGGUAAUGGGUGCGUGUCAAGAAUUAUUUCUCAGAAAAAAAACAAAAGUGUAAGAAUUGGAUGCAAGUAGGUCAGCUUCAGCUCCACGGAAGCCACGAGCCCACAACUUUACUUUGAGCCAAGCCAAGAAGCUUGAUUUUGCUACGCCUACAUUUGUGAGUUGCAUUGCCUAUUCCCAGUCAGAUACAUCCAUCAUAUACGGAGUACUAAUGGGGGAAAAAAAACGUUGCUUGAGAACUUGGCUACAAGCAUUAGUUCCAUAUACGAUCCGGUUGAAAGAAAAAUCAGAUGCUACGGAUAUUGACAUGACAUCCCACCCAACAAUACAUGAGCACUAACACGUAAGAACAAAUCAAGCAUAUAUGCUUCCUCUGUCUAAGUAAAAGUGUUGUUUUAUUAGCAUUCAAAUAUUAUCUCAAUAAAAAUGUCGUUUUAGGUACAGACCUACUCCUAGGAGCAACACCAGUCUUCAACAUACGAAAGAGAAGCGCAAGAGAGGAUGGAGUAUAUAUGAUUUUAAUUAAUGAGGAUGGAGUAAUACCUAGGAGUAACCGUGUUCAUCCUAAAACGACUUUAAUUCAGAGAUAAAGUGAGUAUGAGAGUUGCCUAUUUAACGACAAAAGUGAACAUUUGGUAUUGCAUAAUGCAUACUAUGGCUACAACUACUUUUUUUAUAAAGAGAUAUGUCUCAAAAAAACAAAGGUUGAUAUGACUGAUGGACAAAAGACAUAAAACGAUCUGUACAAAAUAAAAGUAUAUCAAAGAUCAAAUUGGUCAUCUUCCACCUUCAAACAUUCACUGCUGGAAUUUAAAGAUCCACACUGUGAACACAGCAAGAAAAGAAAUACCUGCAAACACCCUCACAAACAAGGCUCUGAAGAGCGAAAUAGCCACUUGCUGCUGACAGCGAGAUCUAGUAUAGUAUCUCUUGAAAGAACAUCAGCUAGAGGAAACCUCCAAGAAAUGCAGGCUUACCAGACCAAAAGAAGAGGUUGAGAUCGUCGUAUGCAAAGGCAACCAACUGCCCCCUCUAAAAAAACAUACCAAAUGUCAAGAUCUAACAACAGAUCUAACAAGUCAGACUCUCCCUAACCCUUCGCUGAUACCAAAUCAAACGUUGUCAAGGUAGAGAGAGGCCGAAGAGAUAUUAUUCCAAAGUAUCAUCAUUGUCACCACCUCGUUGAUGACACUAGAAACUAUAACCUAGAUCACAAGGAUUCACAAACCUAAUCAAGAACUACGAAGAAGGAAAACGGGUCUCCAAUCCUGUAUCCACUAGCGAGAUCAUGAGAGAAGAGGGACCGAGGUAUGUCCUGGCUGUGGGCGGCGGGGACGGCGUAUGGGAAGUGCUAGGGCAGAUGCGACUCUGGAGGGAACGUAAUGCCACCCAUUUUCCGUAGGAACACAUGAACAUUUGCUAUUGCAUACUACCGCUACUGUCACUCACUUUGCGUAGGAGGCCUCAAACUUUACAUCAGGACAUCCUUGCCCAGUAUCAAAAUAUUUGUGGGUAAUUCAAAUUGUGCAAGUCUCAAAUACGAACUUAUGGAAGACCACAUUCGGCGAAUAACCUAUUCUGGCCAGCAGGGAAAACAAAAAGGAGUACAGCAGAAAAAUGGUGGUUCAAAGUGCAGGUACGACAUCAUGGAGUCUAGAGAGAAAAGAAAAAGUGGCUUGUCCAAUGCAAUCAACCUACUUGUCACAUUGCAGGACAGGUGGGCAGGUCAUUCAUUUUCCUUGACACGAGGGACCUAAUAGCAAAUUAUGGUGGCAAAUGAAUCUCGCCUUAUUAUAAAAGCUGACUAUGGUGGCACCUGAAUUUCACGCUUUAGUAUAAGAGCAACAAUCCACAAUCGACUGAGAAACCCAUUUACCCUGCACAUCUGAUAAGAUCAUCAUAGUUGCUGACCAAGCUGACUACAAAGAGUGUACGCCAACAAACUUUAACCACAACUCUUGACUCAACAAGUAUACACAAAGGAAACCCAAAGAUUGUCAGAAGAAACAACACCUACCAAGUAAUUUACUGCCAAGCCCGUCUAAGCAACCCACGGUGGCAGCAGCAGUCAACAGCUCUACAAAUACAUCUACCUGUAUACAUAUGCAAGCAGCUCCAACGGUAUCAUCUCACAAUCUCCUGCCACUGCCAGACUCCACAUCGUUUAGAGUAUCUCUUAGGGUCAUCCCACCGUGGCCUGGAAUAUUGACUGUUUCGAUCUCGGUUGGUCUCACACUGUACGAGUUUGCAUGUCUGCUGUUCCGUUCCUCCGCUACCUGGACCGUGUAUGCAUGAGGCCACCAAGCUGCAAAGGAGAUGUACAAUAUUCUGUGACAUGUUGAACAAAACCUGAAAACUCAAUAGUUGGUAAAACAGUGAAUAGUAGGUACCAUCGCCAUCAAAAGGAUACGGGAAAAAUUGCAGAUAGCAAAAUGAAGCAACUGUAAGACCUGCAAAGGCAAGUGGCCAUGGCGAGAAAGAUGAUCCAUUAUGUAUUUUCAGGACAUCUAGAAAAUCUUGAUCUAUUUAAAAAAGAUAUAUCAAAAUUUACAAACCUAUAAGAGCCCCUGCAAAUACAUCUUGCCAAUGAUGCCAGUAGUCAUCCACUCGAGAAACAGCCACAAGUGCAGCAGUAAGGAGAGGCAGAAACACAAUGCAUAGCUUCGCAACAUGUCCUUUGCGAUCAAAAGCUGCGAUUUUCCCAGCUAAGUACCAUGCAAGGAAGCCUAAACCAGCAAAAGACCCUGAAGUAGUGUAAUAGGCCACACAACAAAUUUUAGAUGCCAUCACACUGUAAAAAAAUAUCAUGAGGUGCCAAGUUGAAACUUAACUUCAGCACAUAAAAAAAAGGACUUAUGCUUCAGUAAUAAUUUACACUGAGUAUUGGGAAUGUGUUAGGCAAAUAUGCCGCAGCCCCUUACCAUAUGCUGCGGCAUAUCAUUGCCAUAAUUAGCAGAUGUAAAUCAAUCAGGGAUAGCUGAUUUAUUUACUAUAAUUAGCAGAUGUAAAUCACUGAUUUAGUUACUAUAAUUAGGAGAUGUAAAUCAAGAGAAUCACCCUUGCCUUGUAAAGGCCAGUCGGCCCUAUAUAAUAGAAGGCGCCCCCUCCAAUUGAGGUGUGGCCAAUUGCCCCAAUCCUAAUCUUCUACAGAAUGUUACGGUAGUUCAAGUAAUUAAGUGAAAAGAGAGUAACCGUUAGAUCUGCUCAUCAUGCACAUAGGUCAUACUUUACAACCUAAAUUCACUCACUCCACUACUCUAUGGUGUAUCGCAUGCAGCUUGCCCCAAGGUAACUCACAUACAGUUUUCAUGCCUGCUUGCUCUCAGAAACAUGUGCACAAAAUGUUUGAAUCACUUUUUUUCCAUUUUUCUAAGACUCAUGGAUCAUAUCUCAGAUAAGGCUCAGAAUUUUGAGUACCUAAGAGAUAGUAUACUUCCAGAUGGGAGGCUAAAUUCAGGGUUACCAAACAGUGCUUAAAUUUCAGCAAGGCAUUUGAGAUAUGGGCAAUUUUGAGGUCUCGUCUGUGGCAUUCAAUAUUUCCAUAGAACAUGGCAGGAAAGACCCAAGAGAAUCCAUUGUUUGGAAUUACUUGGUCACUCAUGUGGCCUAAUUUCUCAGACAGCACAGACAGUCUCAUUGACUGCACACCACUUGUUUGCAACUCUCUUGCCCCCUAUCACCAAUGCAGAAUCAUGCAAAGCCACAAAAACUGUCCACAAUGCAGGUUGUCAUCAUGCCCAACUGAGGUCUUAGCACCCACCCACAAAGACAUCCACUUUCUCUGAUGAUUAGAACUAGCAUGCCCAAGGCAUACCACACACCCCAAAGGUAGACCCAUUUUUAUUUCUCCCAAAAAAAAAGACAGCCAGUACUGAAAGAAUCUAUUUCCUCAAGUAUGACCUUGCAAUGGUAUUUUAGACAUAUCAUCAAAGUGUAGUAGACCAAUCUAAUUUUAUUGAAUAUGCAAGUGGCAGUUAACUUUUAAAAGCAUAUAGGUUUUCCCACUGUAAAAUUGUCCAUAGAGUUGGGCAACAAGUGCACCAAAGGGAUCAAUAUUACAAAGGGGAACAUAUGCAGUUACAGGCUAUUUGAGUACUUAUGUGGUUAUGCCAUUACUUACAUGAACUGUGUCCACUGGGGAAGCUCUUGUGGCCUUCCUUGAUUACGCUCUUCACUCCAUUGCAUAUAACACCAGUUGUAAUGUUAUCAUAAACCUUAAAGAUAAUGUAAUUAGCCCAGAUUCUGUGCAAAUUUUGAAGCAUAUACAUAUCAACACAGAUGAACUUGCUACAGGACUAUAAGUUAGUUUUUAUUUUUAUCUUACAUCAUUUCCAUCAGGGAAACAGCGCCAGAAAAAAUCUGGACGAGGCCGUCCAACACCAUCCUUAAUCGCAUCAGUAAUCACUGCAGUUAUGAGCACUGAGUAUAGAAUCCCUACAAAAUUUCAAUUUUUCAGAUAUGUUUCUCUUGUACUAAUCAACAUAUCGAACGGAUCAUAAUCAUAAAUAUGUAAAAUACCCAGUAUGCCAUGGUGCAAAUCAUAAAAAUUCUUCUUUUUGAAGUAAAUUCCAACAAAGAUGGCCCAAGGCAGUAUAAUUCCAAUCAGCUGCAAAUAAGAAAAACAGCUAAGAACCACACAAAAACUUUUGCAUGGAUGUAACAGGAUCAAAACAUACUGAAAGAUAAGGAUACCAGGACAUACUGGAACAGCCCAAAAUGGCACUGUAUUGCCCUUCAUAGGAUAUCUCAAGUCAGUCAUCAUGUCUUUUCCAACAAAACGGUGAAAUGGUUCAAUUAAAUUCAACAGCCCGUCUAUGACAGCAAGGAGGAGAAGUAUUAUCCAGUCAUACAUGUGCAAUCUUGCCAAUAUCAUCCCAUGGGAUCUAAUAGUGUAAAACCCUAACUGGUCUGCCAUUGUCUCCUACAAAAACAAAGAGUGUAAGAGAGCAAACAACAGGGAGUGAAGUUACAAUAACAGUUGCAAUUUAAUUCUCAAGGGCUUCACAGCACUGCAAGACCAAUGUUAUUAGUCAUGAUUAUCUUUCAUACAGGGUGAAAAUGUAGUUCUCAUGUUCCAUCAGCAUGGAAAUUAACAGUGACAAUUUAGCAUCUCCUAUGAGUUAUGGCAGUAGAAUAAUUACAGAAACACGACAUAUUUAAUGAUAUCAUCAAUGCAUAGACCUGGAAACCAAGGCAUUUCCAUGUGAAUUAAUAUAUUGAAACUUCAGUUCCAAUAAAAGGUAUAAGCUUUGGUAAAAAACAAACACAAAACUGGACAAUCUUUCUUCAUGUUUUAAAGAGACUUCAAAUAUGUGCUAGGGACACAGGAAAAUACUGGAGUUAUACAAACAAACUAUCAGCCAUGCUAAGAACAACUGACAUACGAACAUGUCAUGAUACACAAGAGCCAAAUUCAACAGCUGAAAGAGGAUCAAUCUUAUUUGAAAAGUAAGUAAGUCCUACCACUAGAAGACAGUAUCAACUUCAAACAUCAGUCCGGUAAAACAAGGCUAGUUGAAUAUUAGUUGCAACUACACUAAACGGAGCAGGUUGACAGUAUCAAAUUGUAUUUUCCGUAGUAGGAAAAGGUAAUAUGUUCAGAAAUAUUCAAGUAACCAUGACAUUUAACAGUUUCUGAUAAUCGUUCAAGUUCAACUUAUGGGAUAUUGGUAAAAACUGACAAUCUCAUGUAUUUUUGAGAGAAGUGAACAAAAUAGCAGACGAGUGUAACAGAAUGCAGGCAAUCUAAUAAAUUAAAAUUAUGAAAUUAAAAUGGUGUGAUCAUUCUGGUCUACUGUCCAAGAAUAAGGGUUCAAGAUCACCAAGCAGACAACAGAGACAAUUUUUCAAUUUCACACAAACUCAUGAGGGACCACAAAAGCAAGAUUGUAAUCAACUGAUACAUGUGCAAAUACAGAUAUAUCUAAUAAGUAGUUCCACACAGAUAUCCAGAGCCCGUCAUUUCCUUAAUUGAUAAGAACCACAUGAGAUCAUAAAUAUCAUUAACGAAGUUCUCAGGCUCAGAAAAAAUUAUUCAAAUAACUUCACAUAAAUGAUUCAGUUAAAAGAAACUAAGACUAAAAAAGCAAGAACGACACCAGAAGCAUGAUGUCGCUAGAAACUCAAAAAAGAAGCAUGUGUAACUUAUUUGCCAGAGGCAAGCCAAAGAAGGCAGAAAAAAGAACCACAGAAAAUCUAGUCCGUAAGAAACUGCAAAGGUUGAAUUACUAAAAGGUCAACUGAACAGAAACAGCUAGGAAAUCUCACUUGACAUAGAUGAACAGCAAACCAGCAAAGUUAAGUUAGCUAACUAUCAUGAAAUCAUUGAUUUUCUCAUACCUCCUAACUUGGAAAGACAGGGCAGGUGGGUGAACAGAAGUUUAUGAAACUUCAAAACAACCAACAGACAAAGAUCUGGCACAACAAACUCAAGUACAGAUCCUUGAAAAAAUAGUAUAGCUCACUGGAUCCACUAAGUAAACAAGAUUAAACUUCUACUAAUUUGAUAUUGGACAGUUAAGACAGCUUAAUGGUUCGGCAAACAGAAAUUCAUGCCAAUUGGCAGUAGAGAUUGUUAGUUGGGUAUUCGCUGACACCAGCCUAUUGACACCAAAACAAAAGAUAUGUAUGUUUACUCCAAUCAUACAAGUUCCAAACCCAAGUGGGCAAACCUCACAUCAACUGGUUAAACUACAGAUCAUUAAAAACUGCAUCCAGUGCUUCUCACCUGAUCGAUUAAGUCAACUAGGCUAACGAGUAAAGUGGUGCCCGACAACUAACACAGCCCAAUGGUUUGACAACACUUAAAUCAACGCACAACGCUACUGAGAACUUGAAGAUUGGCUGACGCUGGCUAUCAGUUGUCACCAAAACAAGGUAUGCCUAGACUACGAGUAUGCGGAUUAUACCCAAUUUUUCUGUCUUAGGAUAGUAGGAAUCAUAUUACCUCGAAUUCCCUUUCCCGUGGGCGAAAGGUUCCCUCAAAUUUCCUCGAGUGGGUGGAAGGGUUCAAUUAAAAUUUAUUGGCUUCGACUAACAGUAUUUGGUCCUGUUGUUUUCUGGCAAUUAUUAUGCAACCUAGGAAUGUGACUGGUGACAUCAAAGUCAAAUUACAGUACAGGUGGGCUGAAUUAUCUAAUCGUAUCUGUAUUGUUUAUUUCACCCCCAGACAAAACUUAGAAAAUGAGCUGAAGGACCCACGCCAUCCACUUGAAAAGCACAUCCACAUCCACCACAUCCACUAGCAAAUAAUAUAUCAGGAAAAGAUGAAAACCUUCUUUGUAGUAGUAAUUUGUUAAAAUAGCAAGAAAAGCUGAGCCGAGUUAAAGUUACAGUCAGAAUCACCCUAAUAAUAAUCUGAAAAGAGUCAUGUGCUGUCCCUAAACUAAACUAGCGUCACCCAAGGACUCAUGAUGGGAGUCCGAGAGAGUACCACUAGUCUAUCUAUCAAAUACUUAGAAGAUAGCAGGGAGGAAUUAGAAGAUAGCAGGGAGGAAUUAGAAUCUUUCCAAGGCCGGAACUAGAAUUAUUUACAUAUAGAGAACAAUGUCUUCAGAUAAUUUUCGCAAGAAAGGGGGGAAAACUGAUGUACAGCUUUCGCAGAACCGGAGGAAAGAAAAGAAAAAGGAAUGAACAACUCACGGUGCGGCGUGAGACCAGCGGCUCCUCGAUGUCGCCCUCGGCGCCGCUACGGAUCGGCGCCUCCUCGUCUCCUACCAGAAUGCGCGAAACAAGCUAAGAGGCAGAGAGAGGGAGACGGACAUAAUAAAGAAGGUGAAGGGAGAGCGUCCGUGCUAGCUGCUAAUUCGAUCUGCUCCUACUCCUACUCCGACCUGGGUUCAAAUCAAAUCAAGAACGAGCACCUGGAAUCUUGGUGGUGGUAAUAUAUACCCCGCGACCGCGACCGCGACGGGGCAGGUCACCCGCCGUCUCGAUCGCGCGGCUACCAACCGCUGCCGCCGCCGCCGCUGCUGCUAGCGUUUGCUGCGGAAUUGCGGGUGUGGAAUGGAUGCGCGGGCGGAGACGACAUCCGGAUCCGUCCGGUGUGGUGAGUGGAGGAGCGGGUGGGGGGCGCGACGGACGAGGACGAAAGGAAAGUAGUUGUUGCUGCCGACGGUGGCGGGGGGCGGGCGGGGUGGUUUGCGUUUUGCGUGAGCGGGGAGGGAGGACGCCAGGACGGAGCGGAGGAGGAGGAGGGUUUGACUGCCUGACUGCCUGCCUGCCUGGCGCUCUAUACCCUUUUCUUUCGGGGACGGGUAGGGAUAAUAGGAUCUCGAGAGUUGGUGGUGGUCCUCGUUCUCGAGACAUUUUGAAUUUGAAUUCAAUUUUAUUUGAACAAAAGACGCCACUGUCAAGGAUGGCACGCGUGCCGGUUGGUAAACCGUUUGCCACGUGUGUCGAUCCUCCACUUCGUCUUCCUUUAUCUCUUUUUUUAUUUCUUUUUUUUUAAUUUAAUAAAAAAAAACAAAAGAAUAUGAAAGUGUGUCAUGUGCUUGUCACAAAUGGAUAAUAAAACUUAGAUGGCGUAUCAACUAGGGCAGGAAUUUGUAUGUAUUGAAAUAUUUUGGUUUUUGCCUCCUUUUUUUUGUCAUGGUAAAGCUAGGAAUAGAUAGAUAAAGACACAACUCAAUGACUUGACUCGCUGGUUAAUGAUUGUUGCAAGCUCAUACACAACUCUUUUUUGUUCUCUCUGUGUAUCUUUCCAUCGCUUGGAAAAAUGGGACAUCAACAGCUUUGUCAUUGUUAGGCUGUUAGCUACGUGAAGCUUACUGAUUUACAUACUCCAUGAGGAUCGGCAAGUAGCUCCCUAGAGCAACUCAAAUGGUAUCUAAACAAUUGAGUUCAAAAAUUUAAGGUUUACAGAUUUUAUGAAAAAAUUAUUGGAUACGGAAAAAAAAUACACUCCACUAACAGUUUUUUUUAUUUGUUUCUGAAAACAUACAUGUCAUCGUUUCACGUACAUAUAUGGACCUGUUUGGCUCAUAGCCACAGCACACUAUAUCUGAAUUGCGGCUCAUUGUAUUUGUGUUUGGUUGUUGUCGCGUGUUGGGCACGCCAAAAGUGUGGCCUCGUUCCUAUCUAAUUCUAGGUCAAUUUUGCCAAAAGUUUGCAGCUUGUUUCCUGCGCACAUUUGGAGGCACCAGAGCUACUUUGUGGUGUGCUUCGACGAGAGCCAAACAAGACCAUAAUGAGUGCUAAUUAUGGGCGAAAUAACUUGUAUUCUUUAAAAACAUAGACACCAUUGUCUCCCGCAUAUUGAAC